CGAAGGGUGCUAGCGUUGUUCGGAAUCACUGGGCGUAAAGCGCGCGUAGGCGGCCAUUCAAGUCAGGGGUGAAAUCUCGGAGCUUAACUCCGGAAUUGCCUUUGAAACUGUGUGGCUAGAGUACUGGAGGGGAUAGCGGAAUUCCUAAUGUAGAGGUGAAAUUCGUAGAUAUUAGGAGGAACACCGGUGGCGAAGGCGGCUAUCUGGACAGUAACUGACGCUCUGGCGCGAAAGCGUGGGUAUCAAACAGGAUUAGAUACCCUGGUAGUCCACGCUGUAAACGAUGGAUGUUAGCCGUUGGGGGGUUACCUCUCAGUGGCGUAGCUAACGCGUUAAACAUCCCGCCUGGGGAGUACGGUCGCAAGAUUA
rnacentral:rRNA from 1 species